rnacentral:rRNA from 1 species
GACGUAGGGCGCGAGCGUUGUCCGGAUUUACUGGGCGUAAAGCGCACGUAGGCGGCUUUGCAAGUUAGAGGUGAAAGCCCAGGGCUUAACCCUGGAAUUGCCUUUAAAACUGCAUCGCUAGAAUUGUGGAGAGGUGAGUGGAAUUCCGAGUGUAGAGGUGAAAUUCGUAGAUAUUCGGAAGAACACCAGUGGCGAAGGCGACUCACUGGACACAUAUUGACGCUGAGGUGCGAAAGCGUGGGGAGCAAACAGG